rnacentral:lncRNA from 1 species
AAAACCGGGAGACUUGCCCAGGUGGGAGAGUUGAACCACCUUUCAAAAUUGUAUUUGAAUUUAUCGUGAACGAAACGUCAAAACGUUCAUUGGUCGCAUUCAAGAGGCCAAUCAUAAGUAUGCAGCCAUUUUGCAUCUUAGUGGUGUGGUUCGUCAGUGACAAUGUAAAACGUGUUUUUGUUGCUGCGGAGUGUAUUUUCUUGUUUUAAGUAGUUUUGUGAUUGCUGUCAUAUUUAUCGAGUGCCAACUUGUACGCUGCCUUUUCAAUACAAGCCUCCUGAAAAUGCUCGCAAAGAAAAAAACUCACAAUCAUGGAAUUGCAAAAUGCCCUAGAUGGAAUUUAGGGAGGCGCUUCUAUUCGACAAAUUUCAAAUAAAUAU